rnacentral:rRNA from 1 species
GACGAACGUUGGCGGCGUGCCUAAUACAUGCAAGUCAACUGAAAUACCGGUAGCAAUACUGGUAUGGAGGUGGCGCACGGGUGAGUAACACGUAGGUAAUCUGCCUUCAGGUCUGACAUAACCCAUCGAAAGGUGAGCUAAUAUCAGAUGAUGCAGCGGCUUGACAUCAAGACAGUUGUUAAAGCUUCGGCGCCUGAAGAUGAGCCUGCGCUGAUUAGCUAGUUGGCGGGU